rnacentral:rRNA from 1 species
AGUCGAGCGAGCUUGCCUAGAUGAGUUAGGUGCUUGCACCAGAUGAAACUAGAUACAAGCGAGCGGCGGACGGGUGAGUAACACGUGGGUAACCUGCCCAAGAGACUGGGAUAACACCUGGAAACAGAUGCUAAUACCGGAUAACAACACUAGACGCAUGUCUAGAGUUUAAAAGAUGGUUCUGCUAUCACUCUUGGAUGGACCUGCGGUGCAUUAGCUAGUUGGUAAGGUAACGGCUUACCAAGGCAAUGAUGCAUAGCCGAGUUGAGAGACUGAUCGGCCACAUUGGGACUGAGACACGGCCCAAACUCCUACGGGAGGCAGCAGUAGGGAAUCUUCCACAAUGGACGCAAGUCUGAUGGAGCAACGCCGCGUGAGUGAAGAAGGGUUUCGGCUCGUAAAGCUCUGUUGGUAGUGAAGAAAGAUAGAGGUAGUAACUGGCCUUUAUUUGACGGUAAUUACUUAGAAAGUCACGGCUAACUACGUGCCAGCAGCCGCGGUAAUACGUAGGUGGCAAGCGUUGUCCGGAUUUAUUGGGCGUAAAGCGAGUGCAGGCGGUUCAAUAAGUCUGAUGUGAAAGCCUUCGGCUCAACCGGAGAAUUGCAUCAGAAACUGUUGAACUUGAGUGCAGAAGAGGAGAGUGGAACUCCAUGUGUAGCGGUGGAAUGCGUAGAUAUAUGGAAGAACACCAGUGGCGAAGGCGGCUCUCUGGUCUGCAACUGACGCUGAGGCUCGAAAGCAUGGGUAGCGAACAGGAUUAGAUACCCUGGUAGUCCAUGCCGUANACGAUGAGUGCUAAGUGUUGGGAGGUUUCCGCCUCUCAGUGCUGCAGCUAACGCAUUAAGCACUCCGCCU